AGUCAAAAUGGUGCGGCUUGUAUUCGUGAAAUUACUGUAAGUUUUAAAUUAUGGUGUUUUCUUCCUUUUUUUACUAUGGACAGCUGCUCUCAGAUUCUGUAUUGAACAUACAUAAACUGUGUACAGCUUGUCCAUGAAAUGUUACCUUUUUAGUUUGGCAGAUGGAUCUAACUUGACUAAUAUUUAAGAGCUGCUACAGAAACUGAUAUUUUUAAAGGAGUGUUGUAAGUGUCAGUCUUGGAUAUUAUAGGGCUUAUUUCUGGAAGACAUUGAAGUUUCAUCUGUUUGACCUGUGUGUUCUCCUCACUUUUAACAGGAUUUUUCUCUUACUAUUUUUCUUUUUGUCCCUGUGUUAACUGUAAGCUGUGCUGUUAUGACCUGCCAGUAUCCAGCUAUCAACAGCCGUUUGUUGCUUCUUACAGAUGUUAUUCAGAUAAUCUCCACAGUGGAAUGGUGUUGAGGAAAGAGACAUCUGGAUGACCAGGAGAAUUUAAAUGAUAUAAGGUGAAAACUGAGAAAUUAUGAAUGUUGCCUGUGAACACAUCAAAGAGACAAACUCUGUCAGGAAGGGCAGCUCUUUGGUGUGAAGGGCAAAACUGGCUUAAAGAGGAAUGUUUCCAGGAGUAAAUUUGGGCCAGGAUAUAAUUCCAAACCAUGGAAGUGGUAUCUUCCCAAGAAGAGUGAUGGGGGCAAAGACCACAGGUAGGUGUAAGGUGGUGCUCAAGGAAUCCUGUUACUGAGGAGUUCCCUUUUAGUUCUCUGAUCCAACACCCUAUAAACAGCAUAUUCUUUCAGGGUUUGCAGUUUGUGAGGAAGCAUCCAAAGUAGCAGGACAAUAAUGUAUUGAUGCAACAAUGCCAUACAAGACCAGCAGGUCCAGAGAUGUGAUACUUCCCCUCUACUCUGAUCUUGAGACCUCCACCUGGAGUACUGGCUCCAGCUCUGGGGUCCUCAGCACAAGAACGUCAUGGAACUUUUGGAGCAGGUCCAGAGGAGGGCUACAGAGAUGAUUAGAGGGCAGGAGCACCUCUCCUGUGAUGACAGACUGAGAGAGCUGUGGUUGUUCAGCCUGGAGAAGGCUCUGAGGAGCCUUGGAGCAGCUUUCCAGUACCUAAAAGGGACCAAAAAGAGAGCUGAAGAGAGACUUUUUACAGGGACAUGCAGCAAUUGCACAAUGGUGAAUGGCUUUAAUCUGAGAAUAUUUUGACUAGAUAUGAGAAAGCAAUUCUUUGCUGUGGGGCACUGGAACAGGCUGUCCAGAGUAGUUGUGGAUGGAUGGAUGGAUGGAUGCCCCAUCCCUGGCUGCGUUCAAGGUGGUUGGAUGCAGCUUUGAACAACAUGGUCUAGUGAAAGGUGUCCCUGCCCCUGGCAGGGGAUUGAAACUGGAUGAUCUUUGAGGUCUGUUCCAACCCAAACUAUUUGAUGGUUCUAAACCUCACUGAACUCUCAGGGCACGUGUAAGAGAUGAAAUGUAGUUAUCAGACUUGGAAUCUGUCCUCAGCACUGUAAGUAAUGCUUGCCUUUGUGAAAAAUAAAAUGAGAUUCCCGAA